AACGAACGCUGGCGGCAGGCCUAACACAUGCAAGUCGAGCGCCCUUUCGGGGGAGCGGCGGACGGGUGAGUACCGCGUGGGAAUAUGCCCUUCUCUACGGAAUAGCCUCGGGAAACUGAGAGUAAUACCGUAUACGCCCUGUGGGGGAAAGAUUUAUCGGGGAAGGAUUAGCCCGCGUUGGAUUUGGUAGUUGGUGGGGUAAUGGCCUACCAAGCCGACGAUCCAUAGCUGGUUUGAGAGGAUGAUCAGCCACACUGGGACUGAGACACGGCCCAGACUCCUACGGGAGGCAGCAGUGGGGAAUCUUAGACAAUGGGGGCAACCCUGAUCUAGCCAUGCCGCGUGAGUAAUGAAAGCCUUAGGGUUGUAAAGCUCUUUCAGCUGGGAAGAUAAUGACGGUACCAGCAGAAGAAGCCCCGGCUAACUCCGUG
rnacentral:rRNA from 1 species